rnacentral:rRNA from 1 species
CCUACGGGAGGCAGCAGUGGGGAAUAUUGGACAAUGGGGGGAACCCUGAUCCAGCGACGCCGCGUGAGUGAAGAAGUAUUUCGGUAUGUAAAGCUCUAUCAGCAGGGAAGAAAAUGACGGUACCUGACUAAGAAGCCCCGGCUAACUACGUGCCAGCAGCCGCGGUAAUACGUAGGGGGCAAGCGUUAUCCGGAUUUACUGGGUGUAAAGGGAGCGUAGACGGUGCAGCAAGUCUGAUGUGAAAGGUCGGGGCCCAACCCCGGGACUGCAUUGGAAACUGUAUGGCUGGAGUGCAGGAGAGGUAAGUGGAAUUCCUAGUGUAGCGGUGAAAUGCGUAGAUAUUAGGAGGAACACCAGUGGCGAAGGCGGCUUACUGGACUGUAACUGACGUUGAGGCUCGAAAGCGUGGGGAGCAAACAGGAUUAGAUACCCCAGUAGUC